rnacentral:lncRNA from 1 species
UAGCUGCACGGAUGAGCAGGCCUGGUUACACAUGUGAUGGUGAUGUGCACAAGCAUGUCCUUAAGGUCACUGUCAUGGGAUGAUGUGCACAACGGUGUGCAUGUGCAGGGUGGCAGUUGACAUGUCAUUGAACAUUGAUGAAUCACAGGGAGACUGAAUAGUUGUAGUAAUGAUGCUGCAGUUGGGAGAUGAACAUCUAGACUGCUGUUUAGCCUGAGUGGCAGGCAGUGUUGAUUUCUAGAUAGUUAACAUGACUGGGUGGCAGGGGUGAUAGAUGUGCACAUAUGGCCUAGAAGGGUUAGAUUGCUGUAACUACAUGUUUACCUUGAGAUUAAGGCAGCCACUCUGAUCACCAGCUUGACUGACCAUUAACCCAAGUGGCCGGUAACCCAACAGACAGGUAACCCAACUGACCAUUAACCCAACUGACAGGUUAAUGUGUCUUUAACGAUUCGGUUCGGUUAAUGAACCCGGUAGUGUUCAAAAUGGUCGGUAACCGAAGUGUUUAUGCCAUAGGGCAUAGGGAAAGGCAUGUUCAAUGCCCUACCAACUCAUAGGGGGUCUAACAGCGGCUAACAGGCGUGCCUGUUAGGAAAUGUUAGCCUAACAGAUUCUCUAACAGUGAUGGGGCUGUCAGACGAUGUUUGGGCUGGCGGCGGGUGGAUCUGGCUGUUAACAACCAUGUUGGAGAAGUAGAACAGGAAUUGGUGCUGU